GUGCUUGCACCUAAUCUUAGCGGCGGACGGGUGAGUAAUGCUUAGGAAUCUGCCAUUUAGUGGGGGACAACAUUCCGAAAGGAAUGCUAAUACCGCAUACGCCCUACGGGGGAAAGCAGGGGAUCUUCGGACCUUGCGCUAAAUGAUGAGCCUAAGUCGGAUUAGCUAGUUGGUGGGGUAAAGGCCUACCAAGGCGACGAUCUGUAGCGGGUCUGAGAGGAUGAUCCGCCACACUGGGACUGAGACACGGCCCAGACUCCUACGGGAGGCAGCAGUGGGGAAUAUUGGACAAUGGGCGGAAGCCUGAUCCAGCCAUGCCGCGUGUGUGAAGAAGGCCUUUUGGUUGUAAAGCACUUUAAGCGAGGAGGAGGCUACCUGGAUUAAUACUCUCGGAUAGUGGACGUUACUCGCAGAAUAAGCACCGGCUAACUCUGUGCCAGCAGCCGCGGUAAUACAGAGGGUGCGAGCGUUAAUCGGAUUUACUGGGCGUAAAGCGUGCGUAGGCGGCUGAUUAAGUCGGAUGUGAAAUCCCUGAGCUUAACUUAGGAAUUGCAUUCGAUACUGGUCAGCUAGAGUAUGGGAGAGGAUGGUAGAAUUCCAGGUGUAGCGGUGAAAUGCGUAGAGAUCUGGAGGAAUACCGAUGGCGAAGGCAGCCAUCUGGCCUAAUACUGACGCUGAGGUACGAAAGCAUGGGGAGCAAACAGGAUUAGAUACCCUGGUAGUCCAUGCCGUAAACGAUGUCUACUAGCCGUUGGGGCCUUUGAGGCUUUAGUGGCGCAGCUAACGCGAUAAGUAGACCGCCUGGGGAGUACGGUCGCAAGACUAAAACUCAAAUGAAUUGACGGGGGCCCGCACAAGCGGUGGAGCAUGUGGUUUAAUUCGAUGCAACGCGAAGAACCUUACCUGGCCUUGA
rnacentral:rRNA from 1 species